AUUGAACGCUGGCGGCAUGCCUUACACAUGCAAGUCGAACGGCAGCACGGGUGCUUGCACCUGGUGGCGAGUGGCGAACGGGUGAGUAAUACAUCGGAACGUACCUUAUCGUGGGGGAUAACGCAGCGAAAGUUGCGCUAAUACCGCAUACGCCCUGAGGGGGAAAGCGGGGGACCGUAAGGCCUCGCGCGAUUAGAGCGGCCGAUGUCUGAUUAGCUUGUUGGGGGGGUAAAAGCUCACCAAGGCGAUGAUCAGUAGCUGGUCUGAGAGGACGAUCAGCCACACUGGGACUGAGACACGGCCCAGACUCCUGCGGGUGGCAGCAGUGGGGAAUUUUGGACAAUGGGGGCAACCCUGAUCCAGCAAUGCCGCGUGAGUGAAGAAGGCCUUCGGGUUGUAAAGCUCUUUUGUCAGGGAAGAAACAGCAGCUCUAACACAGUCUGCGAAUGACGAUACCUGAAGAAUAAGCACCGGCUAACUACGUGCCAGCCGCCGCAGUAA
rnacentral:rRNA from 1 species